rnacentral:rRNA from 1 species
GAUGAACGCUGGCGGCGUGCCUAAUACAUGCAAGUCGAGCGAACGGACGAGAAGCUUGCUUCUCUGAUGUUAGCGGCGGAUGGUGAGUAACACGUGGAUAACCUACCUAUAGGACUGGGAUAACUUCGGGAAACCGGAGCUAAUACCGGAUGAUAUUUUGAACCGCAUGGUUCAAAAGUGAAAGACGGUCUUGCUGUCACUUAUAGAUGGAUCCGCGCUGCAUUAGCUAGUUGGUAAGGUAACGGCUUACCAAGGCAACGAUGCAUAGCCGACCUGAGAGGGUGAUCGGCCACACUGGAACUGAGAUACGGUCCAGACUCCUACGGGAGGCAGCAGUAGGGAAUCUUCCGCAAUGGGCGAAAGCCUGACGGAGCAACGCCGCGUGAGUGAUGAAGGUCUUCGGAUCGUAAAACUCUGUUAUUAGGGAAGAACAUAUGUGUAAGUAACUGUGCACAUCUUGACGGUACCUAAUCAGAAAGCCACGGCUAACUACGUG